AGAUUCCGAAGGCCUGAGGACUUGGCACAAAAUGGAAUUUACCAGCUAGACAGAAGAGACAGGGAAAGAAACUGAUGGCGUUGAUCAUACUGAACGCCAUCAUGAAGGAGGUUUGAGAUACUGCUUUUUGCUCUCUGUGAAGUCCUGAGUCCAUGGAAAGGCCGAGGGGAGAAACAUCGGCAGCAACAUGGCAGCUCUAUUAGUGAUGGAAACUGGAUUGGGAAAUGGGAUAUCACAUCUGUCACCUAGAGGUUUUGGCAACAAUAUUUCGGCCUAGAAUUCAGUCCAGCACAUUCAGUGUACUGUGCUUACCCAGCUUCUGGCAGAGUGGGACAGCUGAAGCUUCCUGGAAAGGAAGAAGCUCUUGUUACCCGGUGGAAAGCAGAUCGCAAUGGAUACUUCCUGCAGUCAGUCAAGCUUCUGAAAGUAGAGGAUCAGGGAGGAGCUAAGAAAAGCAGCGGUCAAGAUAAACUAAGCCCCUUAUCCCCA
rnacentral:lncRNA from 1 species